CCUACGAGAGGCAGCAGUGGGGAAUAUUGGACAAUGGGGGGAACCCUGAUCCAGCCAUGCCGCGUGUGUGAAGAAGGCCCUCGGGUUGUAAAGCACUUUCAGUGAGGAAGAACGCCUGGUGGUUAAUACCCAUCAGGAAAGACAUCACUCACAGAAGAAGCACCGGCUAACUCCGUGCCAGCAGCCGCGGUAAUACGGAGGGUGCGAGCGUUAAUCGGAAUUACUGGGCGUAAAGCGCGCGUAGGUGGCUUGAUAAGCCGGUUGUGAAAGCCCCGGGCUCAACCUGGGAACGGCAUCCGGAACUGUCAAGCUAGAGUGCAGGAGAGGAAGGUAGAAUUCCCGGUGUAGCGGUGAAAUGCGUAGAGAUCGGGAGGAAUACCAGUGGCGAAGGCGGCCUUCUGGACUGACACUGACACUGAGGUGCGAAAGCGUGGGUAGCAAACAGGAUUAGAUACCCCAGUAGUC
rnacentral:rRNA from 1 species